rnacentral:tRNA from 1 species
GAAAGUUAUAAGGUCUCCCUGCUAAGGAGGUUAAGAGAAAUAUCUUCUCAGCUUUCU